UACGAAGGGGGCUAGCGUUGUUCGGAAUUAUUGGGCGUAAAGCGCUGGUAGGUGGCUUGUUAAGUCGCGUGUGAAAGCUCCAGGCUCAACCUGGAAAGUGCGCGCGAAACUGGCGAGCUUGAGUGCCGGAGAGGGUCGCGGAAUUCCCAGUGUAGAGGUGAAAUUCGUAGAUAUUGGGAGGAACACCAGAGGCGAAGGCGGCGACCUGGAAGGUAACUGACACUGAGCAGCGAAAGCGUGGGGAGCAAACAGG
rnacentral:rRNA from 1 species